rnacentral:lncRNA from 1 species
CCUCCCUCUCCCGGGUUCACAAGAUUCUCCUGCCUCAGCCUCCUGAGUAGCUGGGAUUACAGGCACCCACCAAGAUGCCCGGCUAAUUUUUAGUAGAGACAGGGUUUCACCGUGUUGACCAGGCUGGUCUCAAACUCCUGACCUCAUGUGAUCUGCCCGCCUCGGCCUCCCAAAGUGCUGGGAUUACAGGUGUGAGCCACUGCGCCCGGCCAAGAUGUGGUGUUUCUAAUGGCAGGCACUUGAACCCAAUUGAACCCUGAGAGCCCCUCUGAGAGGGCUGUGUGUGUUGGGAAUGAGAGAGUUACGAGUUUUUCAGUGCCUUCUCUAGCUUUCUAGAAGUUGUUAUGAGUGGACCUGACUACCUAGAGAGAGUAAUACAGAAGCUCCAUGCCGAUCACAGCUACCUCAUUACCAAGUUCCUCCAAGAUGGCCGCCCCUGAGGAGAAUCAUCAACUGGGCUUUACGGAAGAGAGAAAUCCAAACGACCAUCAGCAACAAAUGAAAGACUGAAGUUGAAAGUUUCAAGAUUGUCAAGAAUGACAAGUUGGACUUGGUCUAGUUACUUCCACAGCAGCAGGAGGAACAUGUGUGUGACUCAGGAUAACUGGGGAAGCCUUGGCUAGGCUUUCCUCAUGUCAACCUACCACUCAAAGGGAGAAAACCUCCUGAUCAGAGGAGCCCAGAACCCAGGAAAUCCAUAAUUUUUGAAUGCUGGCCGAGGUCUGUGACCUCUGACUGAAUGGUUUCCAAGCUCUGAAUUCCUAGGUAUAACACUUGCUGAAGAAAGGAAAAGCUCUCUGAUUUAGGUGUAAGCAAAACAAUCUAAACAGUAGGAUAAAAUCGUGUUGGAGUGGAGUUCUGUGUGAGCGCUGUCUUUGAACCAAAUCAGUUCCACAACUGACCCU